rnacentral:lncRNA from 1 species
UCUUGAAAUGUCUUGAGUGAUUGGAGGACCUUUAUUUUUCACACCUGAUGCCUUAUGCUGAUGAGAGGACUCAGCAGGGGAUGGCCAGGCCAGAAAGACCGGAACUAUAUCCUGAGGUUUGAGUUUCUGAGCUAGGUGAUGUCAUCCUCCAGCUUGGCCGGCCUCUGCCUGGGAGCCUCUGGUGUGAAAGAGAGCAGGAGUUUGACUAAAUCUUCAAAGAUAUGUGAGGCUUGCCUAGAACAUCAUCAUCAGGAAUGCUGGUCCUUCAAUUUGUUUUUUGAAUUGAAGUGUAGUUUACAGUGAUCAAGUUGAAAAUAAGGCUCUGCAUGAAAGCUAACUAUUAAAAGGGUGUGGGCACAGGAGCAACCAACACAGACCCCACAGUAAUCCCAAACCUAUGCUAAGAGGGAGCAAUUCCAUCCCUCCAAACCUGUGCUAAGAGGGACACCUCCAUCCUUCCAAACCUGUGAUAGGAGGGAGCACCUCCAUCCUUCCGAACCUGUGCUAAGAGGGACACCUCCAUCCUUCCAAGCCUGUGCUAAGAUGGAACACCUCCAUCCUUCCAAACCUAUGAUAGGAGGGAGCACCUCCAUCCUUCCAAGCCUGUGCUAAGAGGGAGCACCUCCAUCCUUCCAAACCUGUGAUAGGAGGGAGCACCUCCAUCCUUCCAAGCCUGUGCUAAGAGGGAGCACCUCCAUCUUUCCAAACCUGUGAUAGGAGGGAGCACCUCCAUCCUUCCGAACCUGUGCUAAGAGGGACACCUCCAUCCUUCCAAGCCUGUGCUAAGAAGGAGCACCUCCAUCCUUCCAUCUGG